ensembl:misc_RNA Metazoa_SRP Metazoan signal recognition particle RNA
GCCGGGCGUGGUGGCGCGCGCCUGUAAUCCAAGCUACUGGGAGGCUGAGGCUGGCGGAUCGUUUGAGCUCAGGAGCUCUGAGCUGCAGCGGACUAUGCCGAUCGGGUGUCCGCACUAAGUUCGGUAUCGAUAUGGUGCUCUUGGGGGAGCCCGGGACCACCAGGUCGUCUAAGGAGGGGUGCACCGGCCCAGGUCGGAAACGGAGCAGGUCAAAGCCCCCGUGCCGCUCAGUAGUGGGAUCGCGCCUGUGAAUAGACGCUGUAGUGCAGCCUGAGUAAUACAGCGAGACCCAGUCUUU